UCCCCCGCUAAAUUUUGCGACGUCCUCAUCGUAACUAAAUCGGAUACAAUUGCUAAGUCAGGACGGGAUCCUUGAGUAUUGUGGUUAGCUAGUGCCUCGGGCGGCUCCACCUCGUCUCACAUAGAUAGCCCUUUCCUCGCAGGCCCACGAGCUAUGCAUAAUUUUUUCUGACCCAACCUGGCUUUGAUAUCAAUUGUAACAAUCCUACCCAAAUUGACCCAAAUAACUUUUGAACCCAUUUUCUACUUGACCCAAAAUGAUUAACCCAAGUUAUUUAGUAGUUUAUAAGCUGACCAAUAUAUACCCCUUAAACACCGAUGUGGGACGUUUUACUCUCUCCUGCUAAAUUUUACGUAAAAAGAUAAUAUUUGAUAUCUACUACAAUAGAAAUUAUAACAUAUUUAUACAUAAGAGACUAUAUCUAGAAAGAAAAGGAAAGGAAAUCAAGACUAUGAUCAUGCAAUCCCUAAAAUUAAGCAACUAAUACAUCUAUCAAUAUUUACUUCCUAUAUUAACAUAUUUAAUUCCUAUAACCUAUAACACUCCCCCUCAAGUUAGAGCAUAAAUGUUAAUCAUGCUCAGCUUGUUACAUAUAUAAUCAACUCGAGUCCCAUUUAGAGCUUAGUGAAGAUAUUUCCUAGUUGUUCUCCAGUUCGGAUAUGUCCGGUUAAGAUUAUAUUCUGUUGAACCUUCUCACCAACAAAAUGACAAUCAAUCUCAAUGUGUUUAGUCCUCUCAUGAAAUACUGGAUUGGAGGUAAUGUGAAUAGCUACUUGAUUAUCACACCACAACUUAGCAGACACCGAAUUUGUGAACCUAACAUUUGACGCACCCACGAGACUUCACAUACGGCUUAUACUAUGGCUCAAAGGAGGGCGAAACCCGUUUAUUGACUCGAGACACUUUAGGUAAACGGUGAUAUUUGGCAAACUCACAAUCUAAAACAGACAAAGAGUGAAACUGUGGACAUAACUUCUUCAAGGAUGAGAGAGAAGGAUGCCCCAAAUAACAAUGAACAUCAAAAGGCGUUAAACUCGUGGAACAUGCAAGACCCGUUUAUUGACUCGAGACACUUUAGGUAAACGGUGAUAUUUGGUAA
rnacentral:lncRNA from 1 species